GAUGAAGAACGUAGCAAAAUGCGAUAAGUAAUGUGAAUUGCAGAAUUCAGUGAAUCAUCGAAUCUUUGAACGCACAUUGCGCCCGCCAGUAUUCUGGCGGGCAUGCCUGUUCGAGCGUCAUUUCAACCCUCAAGCUCAGCUUGGUGUUGGGACUCGCGGUAACCCGCGUUCCCCAAAUCGAUUGGCGGUCACGUCGAGCUUCCAUAACGUAGUAAUCAUACACCUCGUUACUGGUAAUCGUCGCGGCCACGCCGUAAAACCCCAACUUCUGAAUGUUGACCUCGGAUCAGGUAGGAAUACCCGCUGAACUUAAGCAUAUCAAUAAGCGGAGGA
rnacentral:misc_RNA from 1 species